ACAGAGUGAGGGCAGUGUCAUUCCUCCUGUCCACUACCCCAACUUCUACUCCCAACACUACCACAACAAUGAGCGGUCUGGUGUGGUGGCUGAGGAUUCUUUUGAAGAGGACAAUGCUUCUGCUUCAUCUGAGCAGUCAAAGUGUCUGGCUAAGAGUUGGAGAUCUGGCAGAGAAGCUGUGGCCAGAGGAAGGAGGCUUGGCUGCUGCACCAGACCCAUAGACCACAUCUUUGGAGUGGCUUUGGCCUUGAGGUGCAGCCAGGUAGCUGUAGCUCACCACCUGCCAGAGAAAAGCUUUUUUAACCUCACUGCCUGCCAGGGAAGAGCUUUUUUAAUUUCCAUUUUAAUCUUACAUGAUUAAGGUCAUAUGAUUAAUAGUUAUACCAUCUUCUGUAUAUCUAGCCUGGAGGUUGAGAUGUGAUGGAAUGAUUCCAAAUGUGAAUGUAUACCAUAUUAAAUCCUUGUCUCUACUUUCCUCCAAAUGAGAUCCAUGGGCCUUGUAAAAAAAAGUUGGGAGUCCAAUCUUUUAAAACUAGUAACUCUAAUAUUAGAGAUUUGAGAGACAGAAUGAAGCAUAAUUAAAGCUUUGAUAAGCAUUUAUAAAUCUG